AUCCAGCUGACGUGUCCCAAAAGGGACGAAACACUCGUCCUUGAU
rnacentral:hammerhead_ribozyme from 1 species